rnacentral:pre_miRNA from 1 species
AAUGGGAUAGCUGGGUCAAAUGGUGGUUCCAUUGUCAGAUUUCCAAGGAAUCUCCAUACUGCUUUCCAGAUUGGCUGCACCAAUUUGCAGUCCCACCAGCAAU